rnacentral:rRNA from 1 species
GACGGAGGAUGCAAGCGUUAUCCGGAAUGAUUGGGCGUAAAGCGUCUGCAGGUGGCAGUUUAAGUCUGCUGUCAAAGACCGGGGCUUAACUUCGGAAAGGCAGUGGAAACUGAACAGCUAGAGUAUGGUAGGGGCAGAGGGAAUUCCUGGUGUAGCGGUGAAAUGCGUAGAGAUCAGGAAGAACAUCGGUGGCGAAGGCGCUCUGCUGGGCCAUAACUGACACUCAGGGACGAAAGCUAGGGGAGCGAAUGGG